GAGUAGUGGACAGAAGGGAUUUCUGAAA
rnacentral:piRNA from 3 species